UACGUAGGGGGCAAGCGUUGUCCGGAUUUAUUGGGCGUAAAGAGCGUGUAGGCGGCCAGACAGGUCCGUUGUGAAAACUCGAGGCUCAACCUCGAGAUGUCGAUGGAAACCGUCUGGCUAGAGUCCGGAAGAGGAGUGUGGAAUUCCUGGUGUAGCGGUGAAAUGCGCAGAUAUCAGGAAGAACACCAGUGGCGAAGGCGGCUCACUGGCCCGGUACUGACGCUGAGAUACGAAAGCGUGGGGAGCAAACAGG
rnacentral:rRNA from 1 species